AGAGUUUGAUCCUGGCUCAGGAUGAACGCUGGCGGCGUGCCUAAUACAUGCAAGUCGAGCGAACGGACGAGAAGCUUGCUUCUCUGAUGUUAGCGGCGGACGGGUGAGUAACACGUGGAUAACCUACCUAUAAGACUGGGAUAACUUCGGGAAACCGGAGCUAAUACCGGAUAAUAUUUUGAACCGCAUGGUUCAAAAGUGAAAGACGGUCUUGCUGUCACUUAUAGAUGGAUCCGCGCUGCAUUAGCUAGUUGGUAAGGUAACGGCUUACCAAGGCAACGAUGCAUAGCCGACCUGAGAGGGUGAUCGGCCACACUGGAACUGAGACACGGUCCAGACUCCUACGGGAGGCAGCAGUAGGGAAUCUUCCGCAAUGGGCGAAAGCCUGACGGAGCAACGCCGCGUGAGUGAUGAAGGUCUUCGGAUCGUAAAACUCUGUUAUUAGGGAAGAACAUAUGUGUAAGUAACUGUGCACAUCUUGACGGUACCUAAUCAGAAAGCCACGGCUAACUACGUGCCAGCAGCCGCGGUAAUACGUAGGUGGCAAGCGUUAUCCGGAAUUAUUGGGCGUAAAGCGCGCGUAGGCGGUUUUUUAAGUCUGAUGUGAAAGCCCACGGCUCAACCGUGGAGGGUCAUUGGAAACUGGAAAACUUGAGUGCAGAAGAGGAAAGUGGAAUUCCAUGUGUAGCGGUGAAAUGCGCAGAGAUAUGGAGGAACACCAGUGGCGAAGGCGACUUUCUGGUCUGUAACUGACGCUGAUGUGCGAAAGCGUGGGGAUCAAACAGGAUUAGAUACCCUGGUAGUCCACGCCGUAAACGAUGAGUGCUAAGUGUUAGGGGGUUUCCGCCCCUUAGUGCUGCAGCUAACGCAUUAAGCACUCCGCCUGGGGAGUACGACCGCAAGGUUGAAACUCAAAGGAAUUGACGGGGACCCGCACAAGCGGUGGAGCAUGUGGUUUAAUUCGAAGCAACGCGAAGAACCUUACCAAAUCUUGACAUCCUUUGACAACUCUAGAGAUAGAGCCUUCCCCUUCGGGGGACAAAGUGACAGGUGGUGCAUGGUUGUCGUCAGCUCGUGUCGUGAGAUGUUGGGUUAAGUCCCGCAACGAGCGCAACCCUUAAGCUUAGUUGCCAUCAUUAAGUUGGGCACUCUAAGUUGACUGCCGGUGACAAACCGGAGGAAGGUGGGGAUGACGUCAAAUCAUCAUGCCCCUUAUGAUUUGGGCUACACACGUGCUACAAUGGACAAUACAAAGGGCAGCGAAACCGCGAGGUCAAGCAAAUCCCAUAAAGUUGUUCUCAGUUCGGAUUGUAGUCUGCAACUCGACUACAUGAAGCUGGAAUCGCUAGUAAUCGUAGAUCAGCAUGCUACGGUGAAUACGUUCCCGGGUCUUGUACACACCGCCCGUCACACCACGAGAGUUUGUAACACCCGAAGCCGGUGGAGUAACCUUUUAGGAGCUAGCCGUCGAAGGUGGGACAAAUGAUUGGGGUGAAGUCGUAACAAGGUAGCCGUAUCGGAAGGUGCGGCUGGAUCAC
rnacentral:rRNA from 1 species